GAUGUCUUCGCUGCUGUUUCUCUGCUGGGCCCUGCUGUGAGGAAGAUCCACCCAUACUGGCUCCAGAAACGAAAACAAUUGAAAAAGAUAGCGGAAGAACCAGAGAAUGAGACCAGUUACUUAGUGCACUUUAAGAUUUCACGGACGACAGGUGGAGUGACGGCACAGAGAGCGCCAGGUAUAACAAUGCUCGAAGAUGAUGCCCAGCAGGCUUGAGAAAGGGGGCAAGACCACGAAAGGAGCGCUGCCUCGUCUCUGCCGUCCAGCGGCUUUAUGCCGACCUCUGCUCCCUACCAUCACACUGAGAUGAACUGAUCGUCACAGACGCAACAAGGUUUACAGACAUAUACGAGCACGUGGCAGGAUAGGAGGUACUCCUGCAUGAGGAAAGAAGAU